rnacentral:rRNA from 1 species
UACGGAGGGGGCUAGCGUUGUUCGGAAUUACUGGGCGUAAAGCGCACGUAGGCGGCUUUGUAAGUUAGAGGUGAAAGCCCGGGGCUCAACUCCGGAAUUGCCUUUAAGACUGCAUCGCUAGAAUCAUGGAGAGGUGAGUGGAAUUCCGAGUGUAGAGGUGAAAUUCGUAGAUAUUCGGAAGAACACCAGUGGCGAAGGCGACUCACUGGACAUGUAUUGACGCUGAGGUGCGAAAGCGUGGGGAGCGAACAGG